GUCCAACAAUAUAUGAGGACCCAAGGUAAGGAAGGGCUGCCCUACUGAAUCUCCUUUUUUGUCAGUAUUUCUGUUUGUAUACAUGUAGACUUGGAUCUGCUUUUAAUCUAGUUGUCAAGACAAAAUUGUGGUUAGCAUGUAGGGAAUGGUGUUUGUUUGUUUGUGUAAUAACAUGUACAGCUGGACUCCAGAGGUCACCUCAAGCUCAUGUGUGAUUAAAACUGAGAGAUGAACAGCUGUGUGGGAUUGUGAUAUCAACUCAAUUUUGUAUCUGCAGAUCAAGUGGUGUAUUUGUGCGCGUAUGUGGUGGAGGUUAGUGGAAGUUCAUUAAUUUUACUGAAAAACAAGGCUCAUCCUGGUGCUUGUAUUCUAUCGGUCAUCUCAUGUUCAUGUAAGCCAUCAAAAACAAGGGAUUAAGCCAGCCUCCUGAGAAAACUCAGGCGCAUUCAUUACUGCCAAGGAGCCUGGGAAAUCUAGUUUACCUUGCCUCACAGCUGAAUCCACGGAAUAGAAAGGCACUGGAAACUGAAAUCUCUAUGUUCCCUGAUAGCCAGGAAAGUGAAAUCUCCAUGUUCCUGGUAUCCAGAAUGCUCCCAGACAGGGCCGUGAAUAUCUUUUGUUUUAACAAGGCAUCCAUGGAGCAUCUGGACUUCAGAGUUGAAGCUUCUGAUAUUGCUGCCUCCUUGUGGGAAGGCUGCAGCUUUGUGGUAAAGCGUUUUCCUUGUAUUCAAAAGAUCACUGGUUCAACCUCCAGCAUCUCCAGGUAGGAAUAGGAAUUCUUCAAGUACUGAAGAAUUCAUAUAUUAGGUAAAAAGUGCACAUUUUACAUAAAAGAGUACUAAAUGUGCACAAUAUGAAUGCAGACGUUUUGUGCAUUCUUUCAAAACAAUCCACACAAAGCACAGACGUGUGAUUGAGAGCCUCCAAUGUGGUGCCCUCCAGAAGUUGCUAGACUCCAGCUCCCAUCAGGCACAACCAUUUUCUCUGGCAUUAUUAUUUGUUUAUUUAUUUAUUUAACGCUGCCCAUCUGGUUGGGUUUCCCCUGCCACUCUGGGCGGCUCCCAAUCAAAUAUUAAAAACAUGACAAAACAUCAAACAUUAAAAACUUCCCUAAACACUGCUGCCUUCAGAUGUUUUCUAAAGGUCAGGUAGUUGUUUAUUUCCUUGACAUCUGGUGGGAGGGGAUUCAACAGGACGGGCGCCACUACUGAGAAGGCCCUCUGCCUGGCUCCCCGUAACAUCACUUUUCGCAGGGAGGAAACCACCAGAAAGCCCUCGGAGCUGGACCUGAGUGUCUGGGCUCAGUGAUAGGGGUGGAGAUGCUCCUUCAGGUAUCCUGGGCUGAGGCCAUUUAGGGCUUUGAAGGUCAGCACCAACACUUUGAAUUGUGCUUGGAAAUGUACUGGGAGCCAAUGUACGGUAGGUCUUUCAGGACCAGUGUUAUAUGGUCUCAGCAGCCACUCCCAGUCACCAGUCUAGCUGCCGUAUUCUGGAUUACAGUGGUACCUCUGGUUAAGAACUUAAUUCAUUCUGGAAGUCUGUUCUUAACCUGAAACUGUUCUUAACCUGAGGUACCACUUUAGCUAAUGAGGCCUCCGCUGCCGCUGCACCGCCGCGCGAUUUCUGUUCUCAUCCUGAGGUAAAGUUCUUAACCCGAGGUAGAGUUAAGUCUGUAAUCUGAAGCGUUUGUAACCCGAAGCGUUUGAACCUGAGCUACCACUGUAGUUGUAGUUUCCGGGUCACCUUCAAAGGUAGCCCCACAUAGAGCACAUUGCAGUAGUCCAAGCGGGAGAUAACUAGAGCAUGCACCACUCUGGUGGAACAGAUUAACCACACUCUACCUGUUGUCUUCAACAGCUCUGCUCAGGCCAUCUUCCCUUUCUUUCUUAGACCUUCUUCUGACUCUCUACUUCUGAUACAUUCCACACCCCUUGCUCACCUUUGAAAGAUCUGUAGUUCCUAGCCUAGCUAUUCUGUGUGCUAAACUGAAUGGGGCUGGGGGCGAGGGGGUUGCAGAUGCCACAACAGUGUAAAGAAGCAACAGAGCUGAACAGAAAUGGAAAAAAGUUGAACCCUCAUACAAUCAAAAUGUUGGUGUUUUUUUAACAAGAUGUUUCUACUCCUGUAAUUCCUCCUCGAAAAAUAAAAAAUUGAGAGCAUAGCCGUAAGUAGAAUAUGUUAGCACCAAUGACGGG